rnacentral:rRNA from 1 species
UUGGCGGUGUGCCUAAUACAUGCAAGUCGAACGGAGUUAAUAUCAAUAUUGACUUAGUGGCGAACGGGUGAGUAACGCGUUGGUGAUCUGCCUCAAAGUGUGGAAUAACGUUCCGAAAGGAACGCUAAUACCGCAUGUGCUCUCGAUUUUUAGAAAGUUGAGAGUAAAGGAUUUAUUCGCUUUGAGAGGAGCCUGCGUCCCAUCAGCUAGUUGGUAGGGUAAUAGCCUACCAAGGCUUUGACGGGUAGGGGACCUGAGAGGGUGGCCCCCCACAAUGGAACUGAAACACGGUCCAUACACCUACGGGUGGCAGCAGUAGGGAAUAUUAGAAAUGGACGAAAGUCUGAUCUAGCGACACCGCGUGUGCGAUGAAAGGCUUCGGGUUGUAAAGCACUUUUUGGAAAGAAUAGGAAGGAAGGUACUUCCCAAAUAAGUCUCGGCUAACUACGUGCCAGCAGCCGCGGUAACACGUAGGAAGCAAACGUUAUCCGGAUUUACUGGGCGUAAAGCGCGUGUAGGUGGUUUUGUAAGUAGGGCGUGAAAGCUCCCGGCUCAACUGGGAGAGGCCGUUUUAAACCGCAGAAACUAGAGGAUGGUAGAGGGGGGGGGGAAUCCCAGGUGUAGCGGUGGAAUGCGCAAUUAUGGGGGGGAACCCCAGUGGAGAAAGCGGCCUCUUGGACCAUUCCUGACAUUCAGACGCGAAAGCUAGGGUAGCAAACGGGAUUAGAGACCCCGGUAGUCCUAGCCUUAAACGAUGUAGACUAGACGUGGGUGGUGUAAUAGCUGUCGGUGUCCAAGCUAACGCGAUAAGUCUACCGCUUGGGGACUACGGCCGCAAGGUUAAAACUCAAAGGAAUGGACGGGUCCCCGCACAAGCAGCGGAGCGUGUGGUUUAAUUCGUUGCUACACGAAGAACCUUACCUGGGUUUGACAUAGCAGUGGUAGGGAAGAGAAAUCGGACCGACCCUUCGGGGAGCUGUUACAGGUGUUGCAUGGCUGUCGUCAGCUCGUGUCGUGAGAUGUUCGGUUAAGUCCGCUAACGAGCGCAACCCGCGUUGUGUGUUAUAUGUGUCACACAAUACCGCCGGUAUUAAGCCGGAGGAAGGUGGGGAUGACGUCAAGUCCUCAUGGCCCUUAUAGGUGGGGCUACACACGUCAUACAAUGGCUGGUACAAAGGGUUGCCAACCCGCGAGGGGGAGCUAAUCC